UUUUAAUGAUGAAAAAAUGAUCCAAUUUUGACAAUCACGUGAUUAUACAAAUCAAUCGAGCUUUUUAAUUCUGAACAAA